CUGUGUUGCAACCCACGAUUAAGUAAAUAAACAAAACAAAAUGUCAUGUAAAAAUGUGUUAUCUGAAUAAAGGCU